UGAUAAUAUUGCGAUUUUUUUUUAAUUUUGUCGAUUUUUUUCAGAAUAUUUUUCAUAACAACGAUGAGUAAUUUACAGGAUUUGAUUCAAAUCCGGUAUGAGUUGAAGGAGUAAGUUGUUUUUUUUGUAUCAUUUUAGUGAUUUUGCACUUUUAACGUCUUUUUACUUUUCUUUUUUCAAUACCUUAUAGUCGAUAACGAGCCGCAAGUCCGGCUACAGUUGCGAAAUGAGGUAGGGAUGCAAAUUAUCCCCUCAGUAUCACCUCAAGUGUACCUCGUUUUUACGUCUAAAUUAGAGGAUUUAGAAAUAGUUACGUGGCAAAUGGUACGAGGUGAGAGAUAGCGGAAUUGGGAGAAACAAAUUGAUGGGAGGAAAGUGACUUCUUCCUAGCCGAACUGCCUCCGAUCGUACGAGCUUGAUCCGGAGCCGGAAGAUUGGAAUUAAACGAUGGCGCCUCA